rnacentral:rRNA from 1 species
UGCGUAGGCGGCCUUUUAAGUUGGAUGUGAAAUACCCGGGCUUAACUUGGGGGGUGCAUCUAAUACUGGAGGGCUAGAGUGCAGGAGAGGGAAGCGGAAUUCCUAGUGUAGCGGUGAAAUGCGUAGAUAUUAGGAGGAACACCAGUGGCGAAGGCGGCUUUCUGGACUGUAACUGACGCUGAGGCACGAAAGCGUGGGGAGCAAACA